CACACACAUUCUCAUACACAGGACUGGAUGCAUCGUCUUCUAUCAACAGGAGGGAUGAGUCAGAGAACACACACAUUCUCAUACACAGGACUGGAUGCAGUCGGAAACAUACGGACACACAGAAAGAAAGGCAGAUGCAGGCUUGCGCUCGCUCACGCUCACACACACACACACACACACACACACACACACACACACACACACACACACACACACAUAGGCACGCUCACACACACACAGGCACGCUGAGACACACAUAGGCAAGCUCACACACACACAAAGGCACGCUCACACACACAGGCACUCUCACUCACACACUCAGGCACGCUCACUCGAUCACGCAC
ensembl:lncRNA